AUGCCUUGAUGUGGGGGAUAACUAUUGGAAACGAUAGCUAAUACCGCAUAAUGCCUUCGGGCCAAAGAGGGGGACCUUCGGGCCUCUCGCGUCAAGAUUAGCCCAGGUGGGAUUAGCUAGUUGGUGAGGUAAAGGCUCACCAAGGCGACGAUCCCUAGCUGGUCUGAGAGGAUGAUCAGCCACACUGGAACUGAGACACGGUCCAGACUCCUACGGGAGGCAGCAGUGGGGAAUAUUGCACAAUGGGCGCAAGCCUGAUGCAGCCAUGCCGCGUGUGUGAAGAAGGCCUUCGGGUUGUAAAGCACUUUCAGCAGUGAGGAAGGCGGGUACGUUAAUAGCGUSYUCGUUUGACGUUAGCUGCAGAAGAAGCACCGGCUAACUCCGUGCCAGCAGCCGCGGUAAUACGGAGGGUGCGAGCGUUAAUCGGAAUUACUGGGCGUAAAGCGCAUGCAGGUGGUUUGUUAAGUCAGAUGUGAAAGCCCGGGGCUCAACCUCGGAACAGCAUUUGAAACUGGCAGACUAGAGUACUGUAGAGGGGGGUAGAAUUUCAGGUGUAGCGGUGAAAUGCGUAGAGAUCUGAAGGAAUACCGGUGGCGAAGGCGGCCCCC
rnacentral:rRNA from 1 species